rnacentral:rRNA from 1 species
GACGGAGGGUGGCAAACGUUUGUUCGGAAUUACUGGGCGUAAAGCGCGUGUAGGCGGCCCUGCAAGUCGGAUGUGAAAUCCCACGGCUCAACCGUGGAAGUGCAUUCGAAACUGCAGGGCUAGAGUCCUGGAGAGGAAGGUGGAAUGCUUGGUGUAGAGGUGAAAUUCGUAGAUAUCAAGCGGAACACCGGGUGGCGAAGGCGGCCUUCUGGACAGU